UCUCUCUCCCGUCUCGUACUGUGGAAACCUACCGCUAAAAUAAAAAGUGGAAACCUAGCGCCACCACUAGACCCCCUGGCGGUGUCUCUCCGGCGAAAUCAGCGCAACGACUGGCGGCGCCUCUACUCCCCUCGCCGGUACAAGAUCUCCCUCCACUCUUGAACGCUGGUGCCGUGCUACAAAAAGACUCGAUCCAGCCCGUACUCGUGUGGCGGUGCCCUCUCCCAUGCUGCUGCGGCAGUCUCAGUUCCCCAGUCUCAGUUCCCCCACUGUCCCGCACCUGCCCAUGGCGCAUUGCAGAGUUGCAGCCAACCAACUCCAUGGAGUCAUGGAUCCACAUCGACAAAGGUAUGUUCAUGUACUACUAAGUACUAAUCUAAUCUCAGCUUGUGUCUUUUCUAAACCGAGCCUGCAUCUAUCUAAUUGGUAUGUCUCUGCAGUCACUCGAAUAACCCUUGUAAGAUGUCAGGAAAUGAGUAUUUCUUCCUUUUUCGAUCAAUCAAUCUAGCUAAUAGUUUUAUUCAUAUGGUCUGAACACAAACAGGCAAAAAACGUGAUAUUAUCAUCACUCAACCUAGUGCUAGAUUGGAGCAUACAGUCUGCAGGUAAUCGUGGACAAAUGUGUCAGCUAAUUAAUCCUUGGAACUUGUCAAUUUUAUGAUAUAAGCAUGAACAAACGGGACUUGUUGAUAUCUUGAACUAAUUCAAUGUUGGAUUAGGUGGCCCCAGACUUAUAUUCAAAAUUUUCCAUUUUGGUAUGCAAAUAUAUUCUUGAACUUCUACCAAUGAGAUUUUUGAGUACUUGUCAUUCAUUUGUAGUCCAUACAAAGUACUCACCGAAAGUGAUUUACUUAGACUAAGUGGAUUUACUGGUAUUUUACUAACGUCGAACUAGUUCUAUAUUUUAAGGAAUGCCUAUAUGAAGCUUGUGUAACCUUCCAAUUAAGUGCACCAUGCAGAAAUUGACUACAACUACAGUCUAUUCAACCAAUUGACUACAUCUACAGUCCAUUCAACCAAUUGACUACAUCUACAGUCUAUUCAAGCAGCAUAGUGAUGGCCAUAUCCUUAUCUAGCAUUUUCAGGCUUCAACUAAAAUGCAUCAACGGUUCAAAUUGUACUGCCCAGAAGUGAAGGUUCUUAAGAUGCAUCAUAAGGAUUAGCACGCUACAAGUUUGGAGCCUUAUGUUUUCAAUAGGGUUAUGAUCAUUUCUAGUUACCCCUGAUGAUAAGAGGGUGCAUAUUUUGGCAAAUGUUGAACAAUCACUAACAGUGCUGCAAAUGGUUAGAAAUUUUUAUGGCAGAAUUUUAAUGAAGCGCACUAUGAAAGACCACAAGGGAUGUUGCAGUGAAGACCUGUCGGUGUUGAAGUACAUACAAAACUUUAGAUAGAUUCCAGCUACUUAGAAGUACAUGAGUACUGGCGUUCUUUUAUUCUUCCCCCUCGUUCAUAUGUAUAGAUAGAUUCUAGCUACUUAGAAGGUUAGAAGUACAUGUGUACGGAAGUUCUUUUUAUUCUUGCCCCUCGUUUAUAUGUAUGUACACUUAAGUUGUAAAGUACGAUUUU